CCCAGUCCCCUGUAUGAUAUGAUUGCCACGAGGCAAUUUCUACAAGGGCCACCAUGAGCUGAGCAUCAAUGGCAUGAGAAAAGUAAAUGCGACACUAAAAGACAACGUCCAGCAAUUUUAAUUCUAGAAAUCUAUCCAUUCAAUUUAGCUUCGUGCAGCAAAAGGGAUAAACAUUCAGGGCAGAUAAGAAAGAGAGGAGCUGAAAGGUGAUCAUCUUGUCGGAUACAACGUGUAGGCCGAAUAUAACCAUGAGAUUCUCCAUUAAUAAGCAUCGAAUAGUAAACAGUGGUCAUACAUUCCAUUAUCCCCCCGAUCCAUAUUGGAUCAAACCCUAAUCUUUGCACCCUCCUUCUCAAGAACAAAUAUUCUACUCUUACCAAAAACCUUCCUCAUAUCCCACUUCAUAGCCAUCUCGUACUCUCUUCCUAUGCCAAUGCUUUUAAGUAAUGGAGAAUUUCGAGAGCCACAGAGAUUAGUCUAUUGCGAAUAAAAGCACUCUGAUUAAUGCUAUUGAUUCUAUCUAUCACUCUACUAAUUCUUUUAGAUAAGAUUUUAGCAACCAUUUUGUAAAAUACUAAACAGAGGUUAAUAUAGGCCUCAGCUGUUUCAUAUUCUAAACAUGUUCAACUUUAGCAACAAGAGAAAUAAUUGUAUGAUUGAAUCGUUU